rnacentral:lncRNA from 1 species
UAGACGCAAUGCUCUCUCUGGUUCCACUUCCUGCGGGUCCCACAAGCGGACUGAGCCACCGCUCCCACUGCUGCCACAAGGGACAGCCACUGUGACAUCUCACCAGGGAGUGUCACCUCAUAGAGAAUGACGUGCCCUGGGGACCAGACAGCAUGCAGGGCAGCCUUGCAGGCCCCAAAACACAGCGUGCUUUUGUGAUGCACUCGGCUCCAGAGUGGACACGUUCCGCACUGAAGCAGGGAAUCACCUCAGUGGGCCAGGACCUCACAGAUCCUGAGACUGCCGCCAUCAGCUUUAGAAGCAGUCAUGCAGAAGGCAGGGGUUUGUCUGCAUAA